AAAGGAUAAUUUUAAUAUAGCUUGCGCUCACAGCUGUAAACAUAGCAGUUCUGGGGGAAUUACGUAUGAGGUCAGCUUUGCUCAUGCGCUGCUCAGAAGUGACGGACAUGGAAAUGCAGCAGAGAGAUCAAAACAAAACAACGGUCACUAAUAAGAAGUAUAAAAUGAGGAUUUGUAAAGAAGAAUGUUGGAUGAUUUUGUUAAAAGCCAAGAGGAGACUGGUUUUCCUUUGCUAAAGUAAGGAAACUUUGCUUCCUUUACUCCUAGUAACAAACGUUGGUUUUUACAAGACUCACUGGCACAUGCGCAAUACUGACCCCAUACGGGAACUGCUUUCAUUUAACAACAGUGAGCCCAAGCUAUAUUAAAGUGAUUAUCACAUUUUGAAUAUGGAUGUUUUUCUUACAAAAAUGAAUCGAUUCGCUACAGAAAGCCUUUGUUCACCUCCCGGAGCCGUCACUUUUUUUAACAGAUGCACUUUUUAUCAAACUUCUUUUGGACUGACGUAGUGUAACACGUAGUGGCAUCAAACAGCUUGAAGGAUCAAAGACAUUUUUUUUAUUUUUUUUUUAUAACUGGAUUCGUCUGAAAGAAGAAGUCAUAUACGGCUAGGAUGACUUCCAGAAAGGAGACGCAAAGCUCUCUAAAGUCCACAGGCUCUUUGGCGGUGGUCGUCUGGCAGACAGUGGAGAUGAUUUGGGACGGAGAUGUUGGAGAGUGACGCUGGCCUGAAAUCAGUCGGAACUGACCCAGCAGGACUGUAGGACGCCACACGCCACGAUCGCAGAGGGUCAACGUCAUUGAGCCCGGAUCAUUUGCCUAAUUAUUUGGGGUUCAGGUGUCAAUCCAAGUAAGGUCAUCCAUUCCAAUAUCCCACCUGGAUAUGGUGGUGUGGUGGGCUUGAGGAAAACGCAAGGAGGAGAAUGAGGAAAAAUAGAGAAAAGCUUCUCGCCAGGGGAAAAGCACUACUUCCGGCACAGAGGGAAACCUAAGCCGCAACAAAACCGACCGCUCCAGUCCAUGUCUCAAGCUCCAUCUUAAGGGACCGUGGCAGCACUUUCAUCUGGCCUCUCUCCCCUCUUAGCCAUCAAUAUCACCUCUCUUACUGCAGCCAUUCAGACCCCCAGAGACAACUCUUUACUUUCCACCAAAGAAAAAAAAAAAAAUAAUGUUUUGAUUCCGUUCUUAAAUGGGACAGGGUCCAUUUGUUAUUUUUUUGGGAACACUUGCAUAUAAUAUAGUGUAUCUUGCCUGAAGGUACAUAUAUUGCAAGCUGCGAACAUGCGCCAAAACGUCUGUGUUUUUUUGAACUAUGUAACACCUUGAGGUAAUGUUCACGACACCUCAUCUGUCUGGAAGCAAUUCAAGGGAUUUUUGUGGCAAAUAUUUUUGCCUUUGACAUUUUCAUUGAUGACA